CCCUUCAGUUUCUUUUUAAGUACCCUACAGAUUAUUUGUUUUCUUUAACACAAUUGAUUAAUUAGGACAUUGGGAAAGAGAACUUAAUUCUAGUAUGGGGAAAGUAAGUUGGAAAAUCAGCUAUGCAAUGUGGGAUUGAAUUUGAAAGAUGGGUGUUUGAGCAAUAGAAACACAGUAUGAGCCCUGGGUCCUUCACCUCCUCCAGCCAUCUGGUAUCCUGCUGCCUCAGCAUCCCUGACACCAGUGCCCUACCUGGCUGCAUAAUAUGGUCACCAGAUCUUAUCUUCCUGGUCACUCAGGCCCAGGUUGUCUGAUCUGUUCAAGGACAAGCUCUAGCUAAUGUACGACUAAGCCUUUUUUCCUCUUGAAUCCCUCCUGCCCAGUUCAAGUGUUUGCUGUGUUUUCUAGCCUUCUUAGUGUUAAUUCCUAUACUCAUUCCCUAGUAGCUACUAUAUAGGAAACAUGAUAAUUUCCCAUGCCUCCACGGGAUACUUCAGGUUUGACUGGCAGGCUUGUACCAGAUCAUUAUCAAACUCAGUCCCAGCAAAAGCUUUCAGAGUGGUGGUCGUUGUCUCCCUUGGGUCUCUGCCACCAGGGCUGAGCCAGGCUGCUGGACAUAUAUCAGGGGCGUGUGGGAGAGAGCAGACCAGAGUUACCAGAAAUGUGCAAGUUGACCAUGUAUAGUCAGCGUUGUAAAGUCAGCGUUGGCCAAGUUCUGCUCAGAGUUGGACAGAAUCACCCAGCUGACUUGGAAAAAGCCAGAAGUGACCAAUUAAAGGAUGUAUGACUUGUUAUGCAGCACGUCUUAGCUGCUAUAACUGUGUCACUCAAGACACUUUCCAGACAGCGUUAGACUCCGGCAAUGGUAAUUUAUGGGCCAUUCAUUGCAACCUAUCUGCUAGCUUGCAAGGUAUCUUCUUCCAUUUAAAGCUCUAUCCCGUUGUCAAAAUAAACUGAAUUAUGACCUGAAGAGGCUAGAGAAUCAUUGUGCUAUUUUGUUGAUGAAGAGACUGUGACAUGGAGAGGUGAUAUGACUUGUCAAGAAAGACUCAGUGGCAGCUUCAACCUGGGAAACCAAGUCUCUAGACUUGGCGUGAGUCUCUUCCCCUGCAUGGCAGUCCACCUGGCCAGCUUGUCAUUCUCAUACCAGAAUCCCUUCAGAUAGGAGCUACUCCAUUUUCACUGAAGAACAUUCUGAGGGUCAGAUGCCUCCCUUCAAGUAUGAAGAUUGACUCGUGUGGGUCCUUCAGAGCAUUUGGUUUUCUUGGGCUGUUUCAACUACUGCUUUCAAUGAAGAAUGGUGGGGGGGGGUUCCCCAGUGACACCUCUAGAAAACUGUGCCUUCUCCCAUGGCUCAGUCCCCUCUUCUUCCCUUGAUUGGACUGAGAGAUGGACCUCGAUGGCUCUCUUUCUGAGAGGUAGGUGGAUGUUUGGGUUCUGACCCAGCUGACCUUAGUGAUUCCACUGGUGCCCAUCUGCCCACAAAAACCUCCCAGAUAUUCCUAGGUCACCCACAUUUCUAGUUUGAAAUGUGAAUACCAGUUUUUAAAGAAGGUAAGCAGGGAGGAGGUGAUGGUGCUAUUAUGAACCCAAUAGUCUUGACUGCACUUUGCCAGUUGAAAACUGUAGCACAGCUCCCUAGUGAGAAUGGUCAGAGGGCCAUCCUUUUGACACCAAUUGAGGCCCUGUCUCUCUCCUGGCAGUCCCUGGACUGUCUGGAGUCUCCUGGGUACACUAGUCAGGCUUCCACACUGCACGCGCUCCUUUCCAAAGUGUGCUGAGCCCCUCCCCACCAACCUAGAUGAGAUUUUCUUUGGCUCAUGCUGCUUCAUUCAUUCCUGAACUUUCAUCAUUGAAAUGAAAAUAGUGUCAGGCCCUGGGAGACCCCGAAUUUAUAGUUCCCAUUCUUAACCCCUUUUCUGUUUCAAGAAAAGUGCCCCCUUUUGGGCAUGCCUCAGUGGCCAGGAAUCCUCCUGCACAAAGGGCUCCAUUACAUCCCUCAUGCUUAUGAGUGUAAGGGACCAUCCAUGAUCUUCACUUAAACCCUUUCUGUCAUUAAACUCUCCCCUUCCUCCUGCUGUGGAGCAUUAAAUGGACACCAGGACUUUCAGACACGGUCUUCGUGUCGAGGGUUCUUCGUGUUUGCUCAGUAGGUGUGUACGUGGCUGAUUUGAGUCAUUCACUUCUGUAAAACUCAUUCAGGAAAGUCAUUUAUUCUGAAGAGAGCCAACAGCAAGGCAGGGAGGAUCUAGUGGCUAAGGACUCUGAGGUUGGACCUUUUCUUGUUCCCAGACCAAUGGGGAAAGUACAGAGUAGAAUGGGGUAUACUUAUGUACAAAACUGUUUAGGACAGCCUACAUCGCCUCAGCCACAUGGUGCCAGACACCACCAGUGUGCCAAGGUCAACGAUCCCUUUCCCAUCUAAUCUAAGUGCUUUUAGCUUUUCCAGGCAUUUAGGCCAAAAACUGUAGUGUUAUGUGGGAAACCCAAGUCUCCCUCACACCAGAAAAUAUCAAUGGACUCUCCUUUAAGAUGUAUCUAGACUCCAACCAUUUCUUACCUUCACCAUCACACCUCAUGUUGGGGUGUCUGCUGGUGCUUCUUAGCCCUCCUCAUUCUUACCCUCAACUUCUAAAUCCAUAUUUAAAAAUUACAGACAGAAACGUUAUGUAAAACAGCAUUACCAUUAGGCCAGCUUUCUAGCCUCCAAAUAUUAAACAUGGUUUGUAUUCUGGGCUGCUCGCUGGAAUCCUGAGCCUGCCUGUCCUUGUUCAGAAGUGAUAACCACUACCAGCUCUCAGGUUUGGGCUUAAUUUUCUAAUAUGGUCUUAAUGACCAAAAAACCCCUAGAAAUGAGGUAAUAGCAAAAUCAGGCUGAGGUUUCUUUGAGGUUAUUAAUUUUUAUUUCCUGCUGGCUAAAUUAGGCCUGUGGUUCUCCCAAGCAGCACAGAGCAGUGAUUUCAGCAGAACCCUGCCAGAGUGGGUUCAAGGGAUUCAUCCAAGCCUGGCACAAGAGAGCCGUUGGGUGAAAACUCAAGGAGCAGCUACAAAGUCAACUGAAGAAAUGAGUCUCGACUAAGCUUCAUUAAACUGCAAGUGGUCCUUGCUGCUCUCCCUCCCCCAUGGUCUUCACUGCAGGCUGAACUGCUUUGCACUGCAAACUCUGGUCUGAAGAAUGGAGGAGAACCUCAUUUCAUCCAGUGAAGGGGAAGUAGAAGAGGAACUGGAGACCAUGAGCGUAUCGGCACAAGAAUUAUUGCUGCAAAAUGUUGCGGAGAAAAGAGGAAGUCCAGGACAGAAGAAGGAAGGUAUGCCAACCCAACCCAGAGACCAUCAACAUGGAGCCUUGCUAGCCAGCUGUUGGGAGCUAUUAAGACAACUCUUGAUCUCUGAAUUGGGCCUCUCCCCCCGAGAAGAAAAGGGGGCCAA